rnacentral:rRNA from 1 species
CAUAGGUUAAUGAGGCGAACCGGGGGAACUGAAACAUCUAAGUACCCCGAGGAAAAGAAAUCAACCGAGAUUCCCCCAGUAGCGGCGAGCGAACGGGGAGCAGCCCAGAGCCUGAAUCAGUGUGUGUGUUAGUGGAAGCGUCUGGAAAGGCGCGCGAUACAGGGUGACAGCCCCGUACACAAAAAUGCACAUACUGUGAGCUCGAUGAGUAGGGCGGGACACGUGGUAUCCUGUCUGAAUAUGGGGGGACCAUCCUCCAAGGCUAAAUACUCCUGACUGACCGAUAGUGAACCAGUACCGUGAGGGAAAGGCGAAAAGAACCCCGGCGAGGGGAGUGAAAAAGAACCUGAAACCGUGUACGUACAAGCAGUGGGAGCACGCUUAGGCGUGUGACUGCGUACCUUUUGUAUAAUGGGUCAGCGACUUAUAUUCUGUAGCAAGGUUAACCGAAUAGGGGAGCCGAAGGGAAACCGAGUCUUAACUGGGCGUUAAGUUGCAGGGUAUAGACCCGAAACCCGGUGAUCUAGCCAUGGGCAGGUUGAAGGUUGGGUAACACUAACUGGAGGACCGAACCGACUAAUGUUGAAAAAUUAGCGGAUGACUUGUGGCUGGGGGUGAAAGGCCAAUCAAACCGGGAGAUAGCUGGUUCUCCCCGAAAGCUAUUUAGGUAGCGCCUCGUGAAUUCAUCUCCGGGGGUAGAGCACUGUUUCGGCAAGGGGGUCAUCCCGACUUACCAACCCGAUGCAAACUGCGAAUACCGGAGAAUGUUAUCACGGGAGACACACGGCGGGUGCUAACGUCCGUCGUGAAGAGGGAAACAACCCAGACCGCCAGCUAAGGUCCCAAAGUCAUGGUUAAGUGGGAAACGAUGUGGGAAGGCCCAGACAGCCAGGAUGUUGGCUUAGAAGCAGCCAUCAUUUAAAGAAAGCGUAAUAGCUCACUGGUCGAGUCGGCCUGCGCGGAAGAUGUAACGGGGCUAAACCAUGCACCGAAGCUGCGGCAGCGACGCUGAUGCGUUGUUGGGUAGGGGAGCGUUCUGUAAGCCUGUGA